CCCUUGUGCCAGCAGCCGCGGUAAUUCCAGCUCCAAUAGCGUAUAUUAAAGUUGUUGCGGUUAAAAAGCUCGUAGUUGGAUCUCAGUUCCGGACCGACGGUACGCCGCCCGGCGUCUACUGUCGGCUUCCGAACGCUAAAGCCCGUCGGCUCGGUCGGGGUGCUCUUCAUCGAGUGUCCCGGGCGGCCGGCAUGUUUACUUUGAAAAAAUUAGGGUGCUCAGAGCAGGCCAAGGCGCCUGAAUACUUGUGCAUGGAAUAAUGGAAUAGGACCUCGGUUCUAUUUUGUUGGUUUUAAGAGCCCGAGGUAAUGAUUAAUAGGAACAGACGGGGGCAUUCGUAUUGCGACGUUAGAGGUGAAAUUCUUGGAUCGUCGCAAGACGAACUACUGCGAAAGCAUUUGCCAAGAAUGUUUUCAUUAAUCAAGAACGAAAGUUAGAGGUUCGAAGGCGAUCAGAUACCGCCCUAGUUCUAACCAUAAACGAUGCUGACUAGCGAUCCGCCGGCGUUAAUCCCAUGACUCGGCGGGCAGCUUCCCGGGAAACCAAAGUCUCUGAGUUCCGGGGGAAGUAUGGUUGCAAAGCUGAAACUUAAAGGAAUUGACGGAAGGGCACCACCAGGAGUGGAGCCUGCGGCUUAAUUUGACUCAACACGGGGAACCUCACCAGGCCCGGACACCGGAAGGAUUGACAGAUUGAGAGCUCUUUCUCGAUUCGGUGGGUGGUGGUGCAUGGCCGUUCUUAGUUGGUGGAGCGAUUUGUCUGGUUAAUUCCGAUAACGAACGAGACUCUGGCCUACUAACUAGUCGUCGGGUUGUCUUGUACCGGCUUCGGUCGGUCGCCCGUCGCAACUUCUUCUUAGAGGGAUCCGCGGCAUCUAGCCGCAAGAGACUGAGCAAUAACAGGUCUGUGAUGCC
rnacentral:rRNA from 1 species